AUCGAGAAGGAGACGUUAGCGUGUGGCUGAGCCUGGAGACCCCAGCCAGAAGCUGCAGGAGGCACGAGUGGAGACUUCACACGCACUCGCACUGGGAUUCCAGGGUCUGUUUGCGUUCCAAGUCUUCCAUCUCCUGGAGCUGGGUCAGCCCGACUUCUUCUCCUCACUGUGCACCUUGGAUGAAUGGAGCCUUUAUUCACAUCCCUGCUUCUCUCCAAAAGAGCAUCUGAGACGGCGCACAACAGAGUGUCUCUGGGAGCGCACCGAUCCCCACCAGAAAGACCCCGAGCCAGGAGAAAGAGUGCAGGGGAUGUCGGAAUAUUUGGAGCCAAGCGUUACCAGGUGAAUUGUAACCGAGACCAAAAGAUAUUCGAACAAGCCGGGAAGACUGGACACAGGCGCCACGCGGGGCGGUGGUGGGGCUUGGGGUGCGCCGUGCGCGGCUCUGAGGGGCCGAGUUCCCAGCCCGCUGCCCCUCACAAUUGUCUCACUGUGCUUUUCUCCGCGUCCUGCUUCUUUCAUUCCCUGCUCUGCACAAGAGUUGUAUUCAGUGAACCUAUAGGGAAGAAAAAGCAAACAUAUAACUUUUUCCAUAAGGAAACUCGUGGGAGGUGGGCUCUGGCCUUGCGGAAUGACCGCGGCGGUGUUAUGUUUCUGUCGCUUCUCCCGCGCUUCUAACUCAAGCAGUUAGACCGGCACCUACUGAGCACCUACUAAGGGCCCGGCUCCUCUGGGUGCCGGGGGAGGGGGCGGGUAAGAGGCGCUGCACACAAACUCCUUCCCCCACGGAGUUGCCUCCUAGUGGAGAAGACACCUUCACGGAGGCGUGGAGCGGAACAAUCAGACAAGGGGCCAAAGGCUUUUGCAGGUCAGCAACGGGAGGGAAGGGUGAGAAGGAUCCCGCUGUGGGCCCAAGAAAGACCUCUCCUUCCGGCCUCCCCUCCUAUUGGGGUCUUAGUUGGGGCGCUCUCACCUGAGCCCGGCCCUGAGCAGGGACCUCCAGAAACCCCCACCCGCCAAGGUGCGAAACACUAAGUCUGAACCUUUGUUUUUGCAGCUAUAGAGUUUCCUCGUGCCUUCAGAAGCCCCGGGAAAGUAUUUGUUGAACAAGAGCAUUCAGUUAUUUCCCAGUCUUUCCCGCCCCCUUUCUUUUUCUUCUUCUCCUUUCUUUUCCUUUGCCCUUAU